rnacentral:rRNA from 1 species
GAGAUGACUCUCGGCAACGGAUAUCUAGGCUCUUGCCACGAUGAAGAACGUAGCCAAAUGCGAUACUUGGUGUGAAUUGCAGAAUCCCGUGAACCAUCAAGUUUUUGAACGCAAGUUGCSCCCGAGGCCACCAGGCCAAGGGCACGCCUGCCUGGGCGUCACGC